GAAACCGUUUGCAGGGAAACAGAUGGACCCACGAAGUCCAGUUGAGUGUGAAAUUCACAUUUCAAGACUGUUUAACUUAAGUAUACAGCUUCUAUCGAAGUUGUCCUUACGUUUUUGACUGUCAAGAGAUGCAUUUUUCACAUUCACGAUGGAGCUCUGACUUCUUAAACAAACCAAACUGCUUGGGGCAGCUCUUAUAUGUAGUAGGGUUCAUGUAAUCCUUAAUACAUAUUUGAGUGUUCAGUGAGGUUUAACUGAGAAGUUGAAUUUCUCACCUUUGUGAGUGAUUCAGUUUAUCAGAGAAUAUAUUAGGUAGGAAAGAGGCAAAUGGCUCUUUUUCGACUCUUGUAGUUGAAAGUGUCAUUUGUUCGCUUUCCAAAUUAUCUAAUAUAUUUGCUAAUGAUAAUCCAGAGUAAGUAGGUCGGUCAUCCAUCUGACC
rnacentral:rRNA from 1 species